rnacentral:RNase_P_RNA from 1 species
GAAGUAAACCAGGUGGUCGCUGUCCCGGUUUUUAGGCCGGGAGAGAGGAAAGUCCGGGCUCCACAGGGUAGGAUACUCCGUAACGCGGAGUGGGGGUGACCCUAAGGAAAGUGCCACAGAAAAGACACGGCCUACCCGGCGAUAGGGCGACCUUUCGUCGGCGGCAAAGGUGAAAAGGUGAGGUAAGAGCUUACCAGUACCGUCGGUGACGACGGUAGCUUGGCAAACCCUAUCCGGAGCAAGAUCAAAUAGGAAAGUGCUUGAGGGCGGCCCGCCCGAUACUUUCGGGUUGAUUGCUUGAGCCUGCUGGUAACGGUAGGCCUAGAUUGAUGACCACCGCCUCGAUGCUGGACUCGUCCGGCAGAAAGGAACAGAACCCGGCUUAUGGUUUGCUUCGACC